rfam:Gorilla gorilla gorilla genomic chromosome, chr4, whole genome shotgun sequence
GCCAGGCGCAGUGGCGCAUGCCUGUAGUCCCAGCUACUCGGGAGGCUGAGCUAGGAGGAUCACUGGAGCCCAGGAGUUCUGGGCUGUACUGUGCUAUGUCGAUCAGGCGUCCACACUAAGUUUGACAUCAAUAUGGUGACCUCCUGGGAGCAGGGGACCACCAGCUUGCCUAAGAAAGGGUGAACCGGCCCAGGUUGGAAACAGGGCAGGUCAAAAUCCCGGUGCCGAUGAGUAGCAGGAUCUCGCCUGUGAACAGCUACUGCACUCCAGCCUGGGCAACAUAGUGAGACCUAUCUCUA